GGAGUGAGCCAUUUUAAUAAAAAUUGCCAAAAAUCCCUGAGAUAAGUCAUGCAGAAUAUGUUAAAAAGGUUUUUGGAUUUUCAGCCAAUCAGAAAGCAGCACUACUCAAAUAGAACUCCCGUGAGGUCACACAUGUGAUGUCAUAACCUUUGUCAUCAGUGAGGGGCCUAAACUGUAGGAACCUAGGAAUACACAUUCAUACCCGCCUGUGACUGAUGCACACCUUCCAGGCUGUGGGGCAGCACAUACACGGACACAUUGGCCCAAAUUCUAGAGGUAACCUCCUUUAGUAUGCCCAGAGGAAGGGCAGUACAGUAGCCAUGGAUUCCCUACAGGUUUCCUCCCCUCUGGAGGUUUUUCCUGUCCUGAGUUAGUUACUGUCCGCUCUUUGUGAGUGAUGGAGGUUACAUAAAAUCCCUACACAAACAUUUUACUAAAUAAUAAAUAAAGUUCCCCUUUGUUUAAACUGUU